AGGUAAGCUACUAAGAGCGAAUGGUGGAUGCCUUGACUGGUAAAGGCGAUGAAGGACGUACUAGACUGCGAUAAGCUACGGGGAGCUGUCAAGAAGCUUUGAUCCGUAGAUUUCCGAAUGGGUCAACCCAAUGUAUAGAGAUAUACAUUACCUAUAUAGGAGCGAACGAGGGGAAUUGAAACAUCUUAGUACCCUCAGGAAAAGAAAUCAAUAGAGAUUGCGUCAGUAGCGGCGAGCGAAAGCGCAAGAGGGCAAACCCAGUGCUUGCACUGGGGGUUGUAGGACUGCAAUGUGCAAGAGGUAAGUUUAGCAGAACAUUCUGGAAAGUAUAACCAUAGAGGGUGAUAGUCCCGUAUGCGAAAAACAAACCUUAGCUAGCAGUAUCCUGAGUAGGGCGGGACACGAGGAAUCCUGUCUGAAUCCGGGUCGACCACGAUCCAACCCUAAAUACUAAUACCAGAUCGAUAGUGCACAAGUACCGUGAGGGAAAGGUGAAAAGAACUGAGGUGAUCAGAGUGAAAUAGAACCUGAAACCAUUUGCUUACAAUCAUUCAGAGCCCUAUGUAGCAAUACAGGGUGAUGGACUGCCUUUUGCAUAAUGAGCCUGCGAGUUGUGGUGUCUGGCAAGGUUAAGCAAACGCGAAGCCGUAGCGAAAGCGAGUCUGAAUAGGGCGCUUAGUCAGAUGCUGCAGACCCGAAACGAAGUGAUCUAUCCAUGAGCAAGUUGAAGCUAGUGUAAGAACUAGUGGAGGACUGAACCCAUAGGCGUUGAAAAGCCCCGGGAUGACUUGUGGAUAGGGGUGAAAGGCCAAUCAAACUUCGUGAUAGCUGGUUCUCUCCGAAAUAUAUUUAGGUAUAGCGUUGUGUCGUAAUAUAAGGGGGUAGAGCACUGAAUGGGCUAGGGCAUACACCAAUGUACCAAACCCUAUCAAACUCCGAAUACCUUAUAUGUAAUCACAGCAGUCAGGCGGCGAGUGAUAAAAUCCGUCGUCAAGAGGGAAACAACCCAGACUACCAGCUAAGGUCCCUAAAUCUUACUUAAGUGGAAAACGAUGUGAAGUUACUUAAACAACCAGGAGGUUGGCUUAGAAGCAGCCAUCCUUUAAAGAAAGCGUAAUAGCUCACUGGUCUAGUGAUUUUGCGCGGAAAAUAUAACGGGGCUAAAGUAAGUACCGAAGCUGUAGACUUAGUUUACUAAGUGGUAGGAGAGCGUUCUAUUUGCGUCGAAGGUAUACCGGUAAGGAGUGCUGGAGCGAAUAGAAGUGAGCAUGCAGGCAUGAGUAGCGAUAAUUAAUGUGAGAAUCAUUAACGCCGUAAACCCAAGGUUUCCUACGCGAUGCUCGUCAUCGUAGGGUUAGUCGGGUCCUAAGUCGAGUCCGAAAGGGGUAGACGAUGGCAAAUUGGUUAAUAUUCCAAUACCAACAUUAGUGUGCGAUGGAAGGACGCUUAGGGCUAAGGGGGCUAGCGGAUGGAAGUGCUAGUCUAAGGUCGUAGGAGGUUGUACAGGCAAAUCCGUAUAACAAUACUCCGAGAACUGAAAGGCUUUUUGAAGUCUUCGGAUGGAUAGAAGAACCCCUGAUGCCGUCGAGCCAAGAAAAGUUUCUAAGUUUAGCUAAUGUUGCCCGUACCGUAAACCGACACAGGUGGGUGGGAUGAGUAUUCUAAGGCGCGUGGAAGAACUCUCUUUAAGGAACUCUGCAAAAUAGCACCGUAUCUUCGGUAUAAGGUGUGGUUAGCUUUGUAUUAGGAUUUACUCCGAAAGCAAGGAAACUUACAACAAAGAGUCCCUCCCGACUGUUUACCAAAAACACAGCACUCUGCUAACUCGUAAGAGGAUGUAUAGGGUGUGACGCCUGCCCGGUGCUCGAAGGUUAAUUGAUGGGGUUAGCAUUAGCGAAGCUCUUGAUCGAAGCCCG
rnacentral:rRNA from 1 species